AACGAACGCUGGCGGCAUGCCUAACACAUGCAAGUCGAACGAGACCUUCGGGUCUAGUGGCGCACGGGUGCGUAACGCGUGGGAGCCUGCCCUUAGGUUCGGAAUAACUCCCCGAAAGGGGUGCUAAUACCGGAUAAUGUCUUCGGACCAAAGAUUUAUCGCCUUUGGAUGGGCCCGCGUUGGAUUAGCUAGUUGGUAGGGUAAAAGCCUACCAAGGCGACGAUCCAUAGCUGGUCUGAGAGGAUGAUCAGCCACACUGGGACUGAGACACGGCCCAGACUCCUACGGGAGGCAGCAGUGGGGAAAAAUGGAAAAUGGGCGAAAGCCUGAUCCAGCAAUGCCGCGUGAGUGAUGAAGGCCUUAGGGUUGUAAAGCUCUUUUACCCGGGAUGAUAAUGACAGUACCGGGAGAAUAAGCUCCGGCUAACUCCGU
rnacentral:rRNA from 1 species